rnacentral:rRNA from 1 species
CAGGACGAACGCUGGCGGCAUGCNUAAUACAUGCAAGUCGACCGGACUUUAAAGAGAAGCUUUGUUCUCUGAUGGUACCGCCGACGGGUGAGUAACACGUAGGCAACCUGCCCUCAAGUUUGGGACAACUACCGGAAACGGUAGCUAAUACCGAAUAGUUGUUUUCUUCUCCUGAAGAGAACUGGAAAGACGGAGCAAUCUGUCACUUGGGGAUGGGCCUGCGGCGUAUUAGCUAGUUGGUGGGGUAACGGCUCACCAAGGCGACGAUGCGUAGCCGACCUGAGAGGGUGAUCGGCCACACUGGGACUGAGACACGGCCCAGACUCCUACGGGAGGCAGCAGUAGGGAAUCUUCCGCAAUGGGCGAAAGCCUGACGGAGCAAUGCCGCGUGAGUGAUGAAGGUUUUCGGAUCGUAAAGCUCUGUUGCCAGGGAAGAACGCUUGGGAGAGUAACUGCUCUCAAGGUGACGGUACCUGAGAAGAAAGCCCCGGCUAACUACGUGCCAGCAGGCGCGGUAAUACGUAGGGGGCAAGCGUUGUCCGGAAUUAUUGGGCGUAAAGCGCGCGCAGGCGGUCAUUUAAGUCUGGUGUUUAAUCCCGGGGCUCAACCCCGGAUCGCACUGGAAACUGGGUGACUUGAGUGCAGAAGAGGAGAGUGGAAUUCCACGUGUAGCGGUGAAAUGCGUAGAUAUGUGGAGGAACACCAGUGGCCGAAGGCGACUCUCUGGGCUGUAACUGAC